rnacentral:rRNA from 1 species
UGGGGAAUAUUGCACAAUGGGCGCAAGCCUGAUGCAGCCAUGCCGCGUGUAUGAAGAAGGCCUUCGGGUUGUAAAGUACUUUCAGCGGGGAGGAAGGCGAUAAGGUUAAUAACCUUGUCGAUUGACGUUACCCGCAGAAGAAGCACCGGCUAACUCCGUGCCAGCAGCCGCGGUAAUACGGAGGGUGCAAGCGUUAAUCGGAAUUACUGGGCGUAAAGCGCACGCAGGCGGUCUGUCAAGUCGGAUGUGAAAUCCGCGGGCUCAACCUGGGAACUGCAUUCGAAACUGGCAGGCUAGAGUCUUGUAGAGGGGGGUAGAAUUCCAGGUGUAGCGGUGAAAUGCGUAGAGAUCUGGAGGAAUACCGGUGGCGAAGGCGGCCCCCUGGACAAAGACUGACGCUCAGGUGCGAAAGCGUGGGGAGCAAACA